UUGAACGCUGGCGGUAUGCUUUACACAUGCAAGUCGAACGGGCUAUGGGGCUUGCUCCAUAGUUAGUGGCGAACGGGUGAGUAAUAUAUCGGAACAUAUCCGGAAGUGGGGGAUAACGUAGCGAAAGUUACGCUAAUACCGCAUAUGCCCUGAGGGGGAAAGGGGGGGAUCGCAAGACCUCUCGCUUUCGGAGUGGCCGAUAUCGGAUUAGCUAGUAGGUGAGGUAAAGGCUCACCUAGGCGACGAUCCGUAGCUGGUCUGAGAGGACGACCAGCCACACUGGAACUGAGACACGGUCCAGACUCCUACGGGAGGCAGCAGUGGGGAAUUUUGGACAAUGGGCGAAAGCCUGAUCCAGCCAUACCGCGUGAGUGAAGAAGGCCUUCGGGUUGUAAACUGCUUUUGUACGGAACGAAAAAGUCUUCUCUAAUACAGGGGGCGAAUGACGGUACCGUAAGAAUAAGCACCGGCUAACUACGU
rnacentral:rRNA from 1 species